rnacentral:rRNA from 1 species
AUGGCCAAGCAUGCUAUAGACUACAGCGUGUUUGGGGGGCCUCAAAAAUUUGGAAAGUGGAUGGACGUGCACUCAGCUCCGUCUUACCCUUCUGAGGCGAGGGCACCAGUUGAGCAUCUAAUUGGGCAGUUUGCAUCCGGAAUGACCGACUUGCUCGGGAAGUUGGUUGAGGGGUGGACGUCCCUCAGUGCCUCUGACAGCGACACGGUUGCGAGGCAGUUCACUUCAUUUGUCCCAGAACGUACACAUCGACCAACCAGUUGCCGUGGCUGGUAUGACUACAACAGUUCCCAAGAGCCCGGUGACACACAAGAUAAUGUAGAUGGAGACGCUGGCCUCAGCAAGGAUGACGACGAUGACAUGGAUAAUGUGCAUCAGGACACGGAUGACGAUGAACAUGCUGAAGUUUGCAUAGGCGACAACAAGGGCAAGGAUGCAACAGAUGCCCCCCCACCGGAGAAAGUGAUAGAACAUAUGGCUGAGAGAGGCGAGGGGGUGUUGCCAUCAAAGAGAGGGAGGGCUCCAGAUGAUGUUGGGCAGGGUUCUUAUGGCAAGAGGUCUAGGACCAAUCCCGUAGCUGCCAGGAGGAGGGAGCCGACCGCUGGUGGACGAGCAGUUACAAAGAAACAGGCGCCAAUGCCAACCCGUGUUUCUGCUCGCUUGAACAAAGGUGCCCCCAUUGCCGGUGACACCCCUUCCACUAGGUCUUCUCCUCGUACAACGACGACCAACACCGGGGAUCCUGUCGUGUUGCCAGACCUAAGGAAGCCAGUCAGAAAGGUGAAGAAGACUACUACGCGCGGGGCCAAGCAUAGCAGUAAGGACCCGUUCAAACGCCUACAUUCAAAGUUGUCAAUGGGGGGCAACUCAAAUGUACAUGAGGCACCCGGCGACAACACUGUUGCUGCACCGAUGACUGCUCCCACCAACUCUGAUGCAAGUGGCCGACCAUCUCCGCCGGCUACGGAUGUCCAGGCUAGAACAACAGGCAUCGGUACAUCGGGGAGUGACGAGUCGGUAUCUGCCAGGACAGCUGAAAUAUUGCCAACUCUUCUGGCAAUGAAGGAUGCUGCUGUGAGCCAUGCCACCCCAUCAACAAGUGUUGAAGUGGACGCUCCCGAGACGAACCUAGGCAAGGAAGAUUCCCGCUCUUCCGACACUGAUUCCAAGCGCGUGCGUGGUGGCACACCUGUGUCCACGACAGAAGCCGCUGAGGCGGCAGUUCAUAAGGAUAUGCCAUCUACAGGUGAGAGUCCCGGCACAACAGCUCUAGCCCCUGUCGGUGCAGAUACUGCUAAGGUGACCGUGGCGCAUGCUGGUCUUCCACCUAGGCGUCGCAGCCCCCGCAAGCAACCAACAGUCAUACCCAACGCACCAGUUGUAUCUAGGAGCAGGAGAGACGAGUCUGGGUAUGUUCCUGCGUCCACACUGUUCCCGCCACCCGCCAAAAACAAUGUGAUGGAGAAACCGCAAGACCGGAGCACAAUUGAUGCAGGUGUGAAGCCGGGCACGAGUGACGCAGGUGAACGGCCGGAGCAGACUGUGCCUUUACUCGCAGUGGAAAUCCCCAGCAUAAAUCUGCGCACUUCCAGGCUCCCAGUCAAUGUCGGUGUCCCCUACAGCCCAAACAAGAAGAUUGCCAUGAAAGCUGCUGCUGAUACCGCUGACAACACGCCCCGCCCUGCAAAUAAGCCCGAAUAUUCUGUAGCGGCCGAUUCAGAUAUGUUUGUUGAUCUUUCACCAUUGGAUUCUGCCCCACAAAUCGUUCGUGGUCCGGCCAGUAGGAAUGAGAGGCACCCAAUGGCAUUUACCCCACCGAGCUUCAGCCUUGGCAUCAGUCAAGAUCAACCGAUGGUGCAAGAUCCUUUGCCAGUUGCCUUUGCUUUCCCAGGAGACAUGCCCGCAAUGAUGGCGCAGCCAAUGGUCGAGGGCAGGAAGGCUGUCAAGUUUGUGGAGCCAAUUGUGCAAGGCACCCCUGAGGAAAUUUCACCAUCACUUGACGAAGCUUACCGCAAGAUCGAGGAGGUAGCAUUGUAG